CUUAAGCACACAAGAACACCCAGCCUCUGUUUGAGGCUGCUACGUUUCGGGAACUAUUCCUUUUAAAGCCCGUGACAACAAGAGUAUAAGAUUUCACCCGUGUAUAGUAUUUCUGAAGCUGAGUCUUAGCCAAGGCAAACUUCAAUGCUUAUCUUUGUAUGCGAGCUAACAAGCAGACACCUACCACACCUGGGACAAUUGGAGAUCUUGCUGCUUUUUCUAUGCUUUUCACUGCCCCUCCAAAGGUCUGCUGAGCUGUAUUUGAGUGACAGCAAUGUGCCUAUGCCAAAAUACCAACCAAAAACGCAAUCUCCAAACAAAUGUGUCUGAUUCUGCAAUAAGAAAAACCUCCACAACCCAUCUUUCUUCCCAGAAUUUGUCCUGGGGAAAUAUGCAAAGCUGUAACUUCUGCUUGUGGUGAACUAUCAGGACACAUGUGCUUCCUGCAAGUACAGAAGCAGACAUUGUGGAUUUUAAAAAUGGUUCCUGGAAUAAACAAUGUAAGGAUUUCUUAAAA
rnacentral:lncRNA from 11 species